GCCUGGAUGGUGCAGUGGUAGAGCCCGCGUCCCCGGUAUGGAUGAAACGCGGGUUCUAUUACCGCCUGAGGCC